ACGAACCCUAGAACCGCAGUCGCCACUCUCCCCUUCCUACUCGGCCCUCUCUGUCUCUAGACCGCGCCGCCGCCGCCGCCGCCUCCUGACUCCUCCAUCUGUCCUCCCCCGCCGCCGCACGCUGCAGCUCCCUCCUCUCCCCGUGGUAGUCCACGGCGCCAUCACCGUUGUCCUCAGUAGGAGGAGCGCAGGCCGCAGAGGAGGCCGGCUCCGUCCCAUUCUCGCACCUCCGUCCGUCCGUCCUUCUCUUCCACCGUUUUUCCUCCGUCGCACCCCAGGCUAGCACUGAGAGCCCUCGCUGGAAGCCGCGGGAGGACGAGCUUGACCCGGACUAGGUCGAUUCGGUCGUCGGUGCCUCCUCCGCCGCGGGAGGCCAUGGGAGAGAGAGGAAGGAUGCGCCAGAAGGACAGGCUGCCCUCCUCGUCAUCUGCAUAUGCCGCUUCUACUGUUGCUUCCCUCGGGUGUGAGCUGAGUCUCAAAUUCUAUUUCUGCUGGAUCAACUUAAGGUGGAGCCGCAGCUUGCAUAUCAUGGACAGAUUGCUUGUUUGGCACAAUCCCCUCGGCUGCACAAGCAGUUUGCUUGGCCGUGGCGCUGGUGCUGCCGACUCCCCAUCGGCCUCAUUCGUCUCCCAACCGCGUUCCGCUCCAACCCCUCCUCCGCUGUGCUCCUGUAGGAGCAAGAAGAAAGGCAUGCAACAAGGUACUCAGCUUUGUUGCUCACACUCCCCUUCUUCUCUGUCUCGUAGAAAAACUUCACAAAUUUAGCAUGAUAAAAAAUAAACCCUGACAAAUGAAUCUCCUUGAAAUGAUCACAUUUUCCUAUUCUCGCCAUGGUAACUGUUGGUAAGUUCUAAUCUCAUGUUUUUUAGGAGCAAAGGACAGUGGGACAGUCUCCCACUGACUUGUAAUUAUAAAGUUCUAAUCUCAUGUUGAACACACAGUUCGAGACUUUACUUUCCCUUUUCUUAGAAACUGAAAAUGUGCCCUGAAUCCUUAACUGCUACCGACAUAUUUCCCCAGCAUUGGAGACGUUCAUGAUGUAAAUGUGAAUGCCAGGGAAGCACUAUUUGUCAUGUUCUUAGUUUCCCUUGGUAUGCUUUUUGGAGCUUACUUCAUCGGUCAUAUGGUUGUUAUCGCUGUCAAAGGCUCGGGAGCUAAGUGAUUCAGGUAUGAAAUAAAAUAAGUUAUGAGGUAUGUGCAUAUGGAAAGGACAUAAGGGAGCAAAUCAUGGGUGGUAUGAGAGUCUACAUUUGAGCGUUUGUACUUCUGGGCAACCCAGUUCCUAUUCAUGCAAAGGUGUAGGCAGCUUUAUGAUGUUCCUUUGGAAGUGUGUUUGCACGUUUUCUCCUGAGUAAUGAGUUUAAUUUGCGUAGAUACUGUAUGAUGGAGCCAAAGAGCUUGCCCAAAUGGAACCAGUCUUCAAAAUAUGUUAUUUUACCUGAUAAUCAGGUUCGUACAUCCUAUUUUGUUCAGUAAGUAGAGUUACAUUUGGGCUGGCCUUAAACACCAAUAUCUUGCAACUUGAACAACUUGUUACAGCUGAAGCAGCAUUACAGUUAACACUUAGAACUAGGCUAUCAUCGAACUUGUUCAGACCUUGCACCUGCUUUACGCUCUGCUGUAGUAUUGUGUUUUGCUCCUUUUCCACCGUCAUUCUCGGAUAUGCAUUCAACUUUAGAUGAUUCAACCAAAUGAAGUAUACAAAGUUUGGUCUCUAACCUGUCCUUUUUAUGUAUCACUUCUUUGAUUUCCCACAAAUUAUUAUUCUUCUCAUAACUGAGGAAUAUAUACUCUUUGCUUGUUAUUACACUUGAUUUCUUCAGAGAAAGAAUACUAACUUUAUACGGUGUUCUUCUCAUAACUGAAAUAUAUUGUUGCUCAUGUCGUCGCAAGGCUACUACGGUACAGACUUUGUCAAGUAUAAAGUAUUAUUGAGAUUAUGAAGUUUGUUUAUUUAUAGUGUACUGCUCUCCUAUCUUUAGGAGAUUGGAGAAAAACUAUCAGAAAUCAGGUUGGAUUACCCUCCCCUUAACAAAGAAGUCAUACAGGAUGUAGUAAAUCUAUGGAAAGAUCCAUCCAUCCAGUUGAAAAGAAGUUCGUAUUUCUGUAAAUGUGUAUACUGUCAAACAACCAGCUUUAUUUUAAAGAAAUACAUCUGUACCAAACUUACUUGUGUGGAAGUGUGCUGCAAGUUCCUGGCAGUGCACAGUAUUUCAUGGAGAAUCUGGACCGAUUAGCUGAAGCAGAUUACGUACCGACAAAUGUCCGCAAUUAUCCAUAAUCUAAUUCUUGUCUCGAGACAUUUAUGACCAUGCAUUCUUCUUGUUGUGAUUGUGUUUGGUCUGUUUCGGCAGCAUGAGGUACCUUAAUGAGAUGAGUUAUUUUGGUUUUCAGCUUCAGAUCUUGUGCUGGCGGGAAUGGCUAUUAUGAGUUAUGUGUUCUUACUUAAUAUCAAUAUAUAUUUGAAUUUUGUAACAUUUUCCCUACUUUUUCCAGGUUGGUGAUACAUGCUUUUCUGAUGUUAACUCUGGAAAUAGAUCCUCCGCCGUUGUUGGUCUUGGCCUUUAUGCUUGGAGUGGGGGUCAUAGGAUUUUGAUGCACGAGAUGAGAUUCUCAUGGGGUUACUGGCCACAAAUAGGCGAGGAGCUUUGGUAAGGUUGCUCACCAAUGAGCUGGAAGUGUUUUUGUCCUGGGUACUUGCAUGAUUGAAGAAUAAAUUGGGUAUUCCUAAUGUGCUAUUGCAGAUCAAAGGUGAACUAAUCCCAUUUUCUUACUUCAAUCUCAGUCCGCCGUGAUGGAAAAAGUGCUUUUGGAUGCUAUGAUGCAACAAAUUGGCCAUCCAAACUUAGUUUACUUAACACUCAACACAAGGACCGUUGGUCUCGGGGCAACUGUUCAGUUCUAUCCAUCUAAGAUUGGAUGAUUGCAUGGAAGUCAUAUCUGCUUUUGCCAAUGACAGCCCACCAUGAAGGGUUUAACUAGGACAACCUGUUUUGGGAAAGCUUUCCCUUCCACACGCUUUCCUCUUUUGGAUUUUUUUUUCGUUUUCUAACUUUUAGAAAUUGUAUUUCAGGCUUUCAAAAAAGGAUGUGAAUACUAUGUGAUUGUACGCGCUAUAGGAAUCCAGUGCGAUGGACCACUGGCCUGGUGAGUCCGAGUGAUGACAACAAUGAGUGAUGCCGAGUCACUAGUUUCUCGCACAAAACACAAGUCUAGCGCGCUGGCUUGGGCCGGACAUGCUCAAAAACAUCUUGUAGCUGAGGUUGCGACCGUCGAGGCUUCGUCGCUUCCGUUGAACAUGAUCUGCGUGGAACAAAUUCGAGCCAAGAUCAUCUUAGCCUCCGGGCAGCCAAUCAAUGAACCUCUGGUUGAAGAGAUUUUUGGUGGAGUUACGAGUCAUACCCUCAAGCAUAUGCCUAAUUUGAGACGACUUCGAGGGGUCUACCUCACCGCUCUAAGGGUUCCGCUUCGCACCUGAGGGUUCUACCUCGCUGCUCCGAGGCUUCUGCAUCCCGUCCGAGGGCUCUACAUGGUCGAUGGGUAUUGGUUUUAAGAUUGUCCACUUC